rnacentral:rRNA from 1 species
CACGUAGGGCGCGAGCGUUGUCCGGAAUUAUUGGGCGUAAAGAGCUCGUAGGCGGCCUGUUGCGUCCGCUGUGAAAGCCCGGGGCUUAACCCCGGGUCGGCAGUGGAUACGGGGCAGGCUAGAGGUAGGUAGGGGAGAAUGGAAUUCCCGGUGUAGCGGUGAAAUGCGCAGAUAUCAGGAGGAACACCGGUGGCGAAGGCGGGACUCUGGGCCGAUACUGACGCUGAGGAGCGAAAGCGUGGGGAGCAAACAGG